UUAGCCUAAACAUAGGCUGUGCUAAUAACCCACCACAGCGUUUUCUGAGCGCAUAAAAGGACUAGCUUGGAUUUUUUUUUUUCCUAGCUUGUCCUGUCAAGAAAUACAAACGUUGAUCUUUUUGCAGUGUGCCAGGCGUAUAGCAGAACUUUUGCUCAUUCAGUUUUUUUGAGGAUGUGCUCUUCUCGAGGAGACUUUCUUUCAAGGGAACCUCUGAUCCUUGGUUAUUUUACCUAAGCUAAGUGAUGGGAACAUACACUAAAGAAAAAAAAAAACACCCCUGAGUCUUUGGCAUUCAUAUUUGUGUGAAAGAAUCUAGAAUGUUCCAAGAAAACUCGUCAGCCAAUUGCUUAAAUAUAAUAACAACAUCUACUGAAGAUGGUGCUUUCCAAAAAAAAGGCCAUAGUGCAAGAGUCCUUAGCCCAGAAGAAGCCGAGAGAUUGGCAAAAGAUCAAGUUUUGGUGUCUGAGUUCAAACAACUCAAACUGGAGAAAGAGGCACAGAAGAACUGGGAUCUAUUUUACAAAAGAAACAGCACUAACUUCUUCAAAGACAGGCAUUGGACAACCAGAGAGUUUGAAGAGCUGAAAGCAUGUCGGGAGUUUGCAGAUCAGAAACUGACCAUUCUGGAAGCAGGCUGCGGGGUUGGGAACUGCUUGUUUCCACUCUUAGAAGAAGAUCUGAAUAUUUUUGCAUAUGCCUGUGAUUUCUCUCCUAGAGCUGUUGAGUAUGUGAAGAAAAAUGCCUUAUACAGUACUGAAAGAUGCAAAGUAUUCCAAUGUGACCUUACCAAAGAUGAUCUUCUAGAAAAUAUACCAGCAGAUUCUGUGGAUGUCGUUAUGCUUAUAUUUGUGCUUUCUGCCAUUCAUCCUGACAAAAUGCAUCUUGUCUUGAAGAACAUUUACAAGGUAUUAAGACCAGGCAAGUGUGUCUUGUUCAGAGACUAUGGACUGUAUGAUCACGCAAUGCUCAGAUUUAAAUCUGGCAGCAAACUUGGAGAAAACUUUUAUGUUAGGCAAGAUGGGACAAGAUCGUAUUUUUUUACUGAAGAGUUCUUGUCUCAGCUUUUCAAGGCUGAGGGAUAUGAGCAAGUGGUCAAUGAAUAUGUGCAGCGUGAAACAGUGAAUAGGAAAGAAGACUUGCGUGUUCCGAGAGUUUUUCUUCAAAGCAAAUUUCAAAAGCCUUUCAACAAGACAUAAGUUCUUGCUGAUUGGCAACAGCAUCGCCCCUUUGAAAUGGAAGCUAGCACGUAAUUUUUCCUUAUGUGUGCUCAUCUCUUUGGUAAACCAGCUAUGACUGCAUCCAGUACCUCUUGUUGGUUUUCAUCAUCAGAUACGAAAUAUGAAUGCUCUUUCUAUUUCGAAUUUAAAAUGGGUUAGUGAUGCAGACAACCUGUUGAAUAUCUGUUUUCCUGCUUCCAAAGUAAAUCCUGUGCAGCAUUGUUGGAGGAUCAGGUGUGGUCAGACACUUGGGAAAGGGUCCAGAGAAGUUGUGUAACCUCCAUCCUUGGAAAUGGACUUGAGCAGCCUGUGGCUUUGAGAGUGGCCCUAUUCUAAGUAGGUAUUUCAUCUCUUGCAGUGUGUAUUAGUAUGUGAUUGAUGGGCUGUCAUUUCACUGGACUUGUGUGUUGCUAGAUGACCCAGUCAUACACAUCUGAUAUGGACCAGACUGAGUAUUUGCCUCCAUUUAUGACAAACUAGCCAUAAGAUGUGAUAACGAUUUUUUUUUCAGCAGUUUUAACACUGGCUGCAUGUGCAUGGAGAUAAAGAAAUAAUAACUUUUCCAGCAGAAAGCCUAACGUUACAAAGUUAACCAGUCAUAAUUUUUUGAGCAAAUUGGAGCUGCCCGAGGUCUUAUUCAGUUGAUAUAUUUAUGAAUACAUUUGCAGCAGAUCAUUGCUUUGCGUCAGGGCACCACAGCUUUUAUUGGUCUGAUACCAUGGGCCCCAAAGCUGGAUUUAUUGUAUCAUCAAACUUUGGCUUCAGAGGAAAAAGAAAUUAAGCCACACAGUUCUCUUAAUGACUCUAUGAGGAAAGUUAUUACUUGACGGGUCUUCUUUUUUUUUUUGUGGAGAGUAUCAUCCUGACGAUUUAUGGAUUUAUGCAUUGCUGACCCCUGCUGUGCAACCCAUUCUUACUUUCUGCCAUACUAGAAAUAAAUAUCAAGUAAUGUUUAUAGUAAAUGAAAAAAUAUGUUUAAAUGGGUGUAACAGUGGUAACAUGAUUAUAGCCUGAGGAGUCAUCAUUUUGUGGCUUUCAUUAGCAAAUACUCAUCUUUAGUACACCAGUUCUGCCAUGACUGCAUGUAGUCUGAGCUCUGUAGAGUUUUAGUGGGCUUGAACCCUGUAACACCACGUUCCCUUACAAGACUGAACAUUUGGUCAUUUUAGAUUAUACAGCACGUAAAUGAGGCUGAAGGAUCCCCUUGAGUGACUCCUUGUCACUUUGGCAGAUGAUUGUCAGCAUAUGCCGAGGCAAGUGCACGGAAGUAAGCAUCUCCAAAAAGGAAAUGAAAUGUAGGCAAGUAUUAAAAACAUGAACUGGAAGAUUUGAGUCAGCCCAGUAGCUGCAGACAGCCAUUGACUUCCUUUUUUCACUGAACUAUUGCCUGAACAAUAAUACAGCUUUUUGUAGCUGUAGCUUCAGUGUUUCUGUGUGUUUCCGCUUGAGGAACUACUGUCACUUUUUGUAUAGCAACUCAUUAAAUGGAGUGGUUCUAAUUUUUUUAUUUCCCAUUCGGUCUCACUUCUAGUCAGACCUGAAAAAUAAAGUAGCAUGCAUUAGUGCCCCUGUCAGAAAGGCCUUCAGCCAUAGUUGUCAUAAGGCAGAGGUUAUUUUGAGGUAAAUGGCCAGAAAGCUUUAUGUUGUCUCUGUGCUUCUGCUUCUGCGAACUCUAAAUCAUUGCAAAUUUUUGUAACUGUGGUAAAGUUUGAGGAAGUUGAGUCAGCUUUAAGAAAUCCUUGCCUCAUCAUGUGAGACAUAACCGAUGGGGUGCAUGUGGCUGUUGUAGUGCUGAGUUAAGUGGAUAAACUCCCUCCCAACCCCUCAGCCUUUCUAAGCUCAGGUAAGCUCAUGCUGAGGAUACCCGUACUUGGCAUCCUUACUUGAAGAACUGUCCUCAGGGAGAUGUGGAUAUCAGGGUAAAUAGUGUCAAAAGGACUUGGAAAAAAUAUACAUGCAACUGAAUCAUGUUUAUGUUGCAGAAACAAGCUGUUAUGUUGUGAUUGUAAUAAAUGGCUUGAUGAAUCUUUAA